UUCGGGCUUAGUGGCGCACGGGUGCGUAACGCGUGGGGAACCUGCCUUUAGGUUCGGAAUAACAGUUGGAAACGACUGCUAAUACCGGAUAAUGUCUUCGGACCAAAGAUUUAUCGCCUUUAGAUGGGCCCGCGUUGGAUUAGCUAGUUGGCAGGGUAAAAGCCUACCAAGGCGACGAUCCAUAGCUGGUCUGAGAGGAUGAUCAGCCACACUGGGACUGAGACACGGCCCAGACUCCUACGGGAGGCAGCAGUGGGGAAUAUUGGACAAUGGGCGAAAGCCUGAUCCAGCAAUGCCGCGUGAGUGAUGAAGGCCUUAGGGUUGUAAAGC
rnacentral:rRNA from 1 species